GCUGGGUGCAGUGGCGCACGCCUGUAAUCCCAGAGACUCAGGAGGUUGAGACAGGAGGAUAGCAAGCUCAAAGCCAGCCUCAGCAACAGUGAGGCACUGAGCAACUCAGUGAGACCAUGUCUCUA
rnacentral:sRNA from 1 species